rnacentral:lncRNA from 1 species
CUCAUUUUAGAAACAACUGUCCUGGAUGAGGUCCAGUUGGAUGUGCCAUUGGAUGAUGUGCUAGAUGUUCCACAGCUGCCAGUCCUCCUUGAUGUCCAGAAUGCUGCUAUCAUCCUUGAGGAUGUGCCAGAUGUGCAGACUAUCCUUGAGAACAAUGCCGGUCCGGUGGUUAAAGCUUGGAGAACUUUCCAGUUCAUCAGCCCCAUCAUCACCUACAUGUGUGGGGGAUCCCAGGUAUGUGUCUUUGUAACAACCUAAUCAUAAUCUAUAUUGUCAGUCAUUUGAUCUUGGUGGAAAUGUGUCACAGCAAUUGCUGAAGUGGUUUUAUUGAUGUUGUCUUGUUGUUUAUCUCAACAGCAGGUGGUGGUGAGGAUGAACCACGUGAGUAGGGUGAGAGGCCAGGAGACUCAACUGGUGUGGGCCAUCUCCAAGGAGACAGCCAGGCUUAGUCCAGAGGGCAUCCCCUACUGUGCCACCAAAGUGCAGUCCAUCACUUGGAUCCAGCGUGUGGCUGGCAGGGUGACCCACUAUGCGUCUCACCUCCGCCACGAGACGUCUGUGGACGUGACGCUUGGCUGCAACCAGCAGACUGAUGUCUCAGUGGUGUACGCCACUCUCCACAUGGGGCUGGACGGGCUUCUCUCCUCUUCAGCGUGGUCGGAGGCUGCCUCCUUCUCUACUCCCACCACUCAGCAGUUCACUGACCCAGAGCCUGAGGGCCACAACUGCUAUGAGGUCAGACGUUACACACACAUACUAUUGACUAGGAGCAUUAAGAUCCUUCCAUUGACCGAUUGUUUGUUAUGUCAUUGCACUGGUCACUGAUUUUGAAUGCUUGUUUUGUUGUCGUAGGGCUGGGAGGAGGACCUGCUGCCUGAGGAGAGGGAGGUUCCUCUGCUAAAGUGAGUUCCUCUAAAUGUCUGUGUAGUCUGAGCUUGUCAGAUGCUGAAGGAUUGUGGUCAUAAUGCUGUUAUCCCCCAUUGACUCUAAUGGUUGACAUGCUCCAUUCCCUCCCUUUCACAGCCUCUACCUUACCACCAAGAGAGUGGAGGACAUCGCCCUGAGGCUCGUCUCCUUGCGCCAGGCCUUCACUGUGAGUGGACCCACUGUUCUUUUUGUCUCUGUGACUUCUUGUUCUCCAAGAGGAAGAUGUCUCACCCUAACUCUUCCCUCUUCCCUAGACCCUGCUUGGUUCCACCCUGAGCAGGAACCAUCUGUUUGUGGCGGGAAAGGUCCUCCUGGGCGCCCUUGUUCAGGCCAACCACAUGGUAACUCACUAACUCAUUCUCUUUCAAGGGAAAGAGAGCAUCCCUGAGGGGAAUGUGUUCUGUUCACUAAGAUGCUCUUUUCUUUGUCAUAGGACGAGGCCAAAUUCAUCCGUACCUAUAACAACUUUGUGGACUACCUGAGUGACCCCUCCAAGCGGAAUGACAUUGAGAGGGAGCUGGCUGAGGCAAAGGUGAGUUCAUUAACUCUUUCAAGUCUCACUGAGUUCUUCCACAUGCAUGUCUUUAUACAUCACAGUAGCUGAUCUAUAUGAAAUCAUUCCUAUUUUCUCCAAAUGUGUUUUCUUGUCCUAGAUCCAUCAUGUGAACAUGAUAGAUGUCCUCUUUGAGCUGGUGCUGUUUGGGUUGAUGACAGCUCAGAAGUCCCUGAUGGUGGUAAGUAGCAUCUCACUGGUACAUGUUUUGAUAUCGCUCUAUUAGCAGUUUCACUUAAAUUCCUCUUCUCUUCUCUCCUCUUUUCUCCUCCUUUGUUUCCUUUAGCACCCUGGUGGGUUCGUGGAGCGUCUGUACGCUCUCCUGUACUCCUUCCUGCCCACUGCUGCCAACAUGGAGUCAGAGGCUGAUAGAUACCUGCUGCUGCUCAAUGUAAGAGUCAAGAGGUUACUUCCUGUUUACUUCCAUAUUCUUAGUGUACUUCCUGUUUACUUCCAUAUUCAUGGUUAACCAGGUUCCAAUGCCAUUUUAGGGGGAGUAUUUCUAAUGGUCUCUCUCCUCUUGAUAAGCUAGUAACUCAGAGCCAUUUUCUAUGUGUUGUGUGGUGUUCUCUUCAGGGCGGACUGAUGGCUCUGCUAGAUGACAUGUUUGGCCAGCAGCUGGCCUGGUACUUUAACCCAGAGUCUCUGGUCACUGAGCUCUCCAGCCUCCUGGAGUACCACUUGGAGAACCUCAUGGCCAGCAUGUAGUCCUACUGCAGGGACCAUACUCCUUUCUCCUUCUCUCUCUCUUUUGAAGGAAUUGAGGACUUGAAGUGCUUUGUUGAACUCUGAUUAGUUAACACCCAUUAAUGUAAUGUAUUCUCUUGUUUUCUCUCCCCACAGGAUUAUUGUGACACUUUGCCACCCAACAGGGAUCUAGACACCAAUGCACUACAUUACUUUGCACUGAAUUUGACAUUUUA